CCCCUGUAGCGCUAUGGAUAGCGUGUUGGGCUGCUAGUCCAAGGGGUGUGGAUUCGAAUCUCACCUGGACGG